rnacentral:pre_miRNA from 1 species
AGCCUUCUGUAUCCGUGCUAAGAUUUCGUCACACACCAGACCACAAGGGCUGAUGAGACCUGGGAGCGUGACCGCA